UGUUUCCAUUAUAGAUACAAAAGCGUCACCGAAAUCUGGAGGUGCUGGUGCGACAAGCAAAAAAUCCCCGGCGGAAAAGCAGCAGGCGUCGGCAAGGGUGGCAAUUUCCAAGGAACAAAAGGGAUAGGUGCACAUUAUGCUGAAACUACUCAGAUGUUUAUUUCAAUUCGAAGCUCCUAGUAUGCCGAGACCAAAGAGUCAAGUAUAUCGAGGAGACAAUUGGGGAAAAAAAGAAGAAUUUUACAACUAUUUCAGAUAUUGUAACAUAUGCAGAGUUCAAUGGAGGAUUGUUCAAUUCAGGGGUACAUGUGUGCCUUCUGCGAGGUGUAUUAUUGAAUGUAGUUCAAACUGUUGAUUCUCCUAAUCGCACGCGUUUGCAGCAACAGAGUUAUAAAUGAAGGUAUAAAUUGAAGGGGCAUGCAGUCUACGGAAAUUUGUACAUUUUCUCUAAGUUCCACAAGUAAUUUGAAUUAAAAAUAUUAAAUACUUUUGAAGAUA